GACAGAGGCCUCAAGCGUUAGGCGGAAUCACUGGGCUUAAAGCGUGUGUAGGCGGAUCGUUAAGUGUCUUGUGAAAUCCCACGGCUCACCCGUGGAACUGCUGGGCAUACUGGCGAUCUUGGGCCAACUAGGGGCAACUGGAACAAGCGGUGGAGCGGUGAAAUGCGUAGAUAUCGCUUGGAACGCCGAAGGUGAAAACAGGUUGCUGGGAAUGUGCCGACGCUGAGACACGAAAGCCAGGGGAGCAAACGGG
rnacentral:rRNA from 1 species